UCCGCAGGAGGCUGAGUGGCACUGCGAUGAGUUCACCAAGGGAGCCUGCUUCAGCCGGGGAAAGUCUGAGGAGGAGUGCCAGAAUUACAUCAGGGUGCUGCUGGUGAACGGGAACCGGCUGUUCACCUGCGGGACCAACGCCUUCACCCCCAUCUGCACCAACAGAACGCUGACAAAUUUGACGGAGAUCCACGAUCAGAUCAGCGGGAUGGCUCGGUGUCCGUACAACCCGC